GCCUUCGUGGUGUAACGGUUAGCACAUUCGACGCAUAUUCGAGAGGUCCAGGUUCGAGUCCUUGCGAGGGCA
rnacentral:tRNA from 1 species